rnacentral:rRNA from 1 species
AACGAACGCUGGCGGCAGGCUUAACACAUGCAAGUCGAGCGCCCCGCAAGGGGAGCGGCAGACGGGUGAGUAACGCGUGGGAAUCUACCCAUCUCUACGGAAUAACGCAUGGAAACGUGUGCUAAUACCGUAUACGUCCUUCGGGAGAAAGAUUUAUCGGAGAUGGAUGAGCCCGCGUUGGACUAGCUAGUUGGUGGGGUAAAGGCCUACCAAGGCGACGAUCCAUAGCUGGUCUGAGAGGAUGAUCAGCCACACUGGGACUGAGACACGGCCCAGACUCCUACGGGAGGCAGCAGUGGGGAAUAUUGGAGAAUGGGCGCAAGCCUGAUCCAGCCAUGACGCGUGAGUGAUGAAGGCCCUAGGGUUGUAAAGCUCUUUCACCGGUGAAGAUAAUGACGGUAACCGGAGAAGAAGCCCCGGCUAACUUCGUGCCAGCAGCCGCCGUAAGAC